GAUGAACGCUGGCUACAGGCUUAACACAUGCAAGUCGAGGGGAAACGACGGGGAAGCUUGCUUCCCGGGCGUCGACCGGCGCACGGGUGAGUAACGCGUAUCCAACCUGCCUCUGACUGAGGGAUAACCCGUCGAAAGUCGGCCUAAUACCUCAUGGCAUCGUCUGCGGGCAUCCAACGACGAUUAAAGAUUUCAUCGGUCAGAGAUGGGGAUGCGUCUGAUUAGCUUGUUGGCGGGGUAACGGCCCACCAAGGCGACGAUCAGUAGGGGUUCUGAGAGGAAGGUCCCCCACAUUGGAACUGAGACACGGUCCAAACUCCUACGGGAGGCAGCAGUGAGGAAUAUUGGUCAAUGGGCGAGAGCCUGAACCAGCCAAGUAGCGUGCAGGAUGACGGCCCUAUGGGUUGUAAACUGCUUUUAUGCGGGGAUAAAGUGAGGGACGUGUCCUUCAUUGCAGGUACCGCAUGAAUAAGGACCGGCUAAUUCCGU
rnacentral:rRNA from 1 species